rnacentral:rRNA from 1 species
UACGUAGGGGGCUAGCGUUGUCCGGAUUUAUUGGGCGUAAAGAGCGUGUAGGCGGCCAUGUAGGUCCGGUGUGAAAACUCGAGGCUUAACCUCGAGAUGUCAUCGGAAACCAUUUGGCUAGAGUCCGGAAGAGGAGAGUGGAAUUCCUGGUGUAGCGGUGAAAUGCGCAGAUAUCAGGAAGAACACCACUGGCGAAAGCAGCUCUCUGGGACGGUACUGACGCUGAGACGCGAAAGCGUGGGGAGCGAACAGG